CCUACGGGUGGCAGCAGUGAGGAAUAUUGGUCAAUGGACGAGAGUCUGAACCAGCCAAGUAGCGUGAAGGAUGACUGCCCUAUGGGUUGUAAACUUCUUUUAUAUGGGAAUAAAAUGUUCCACGUGUGGGAUUUUGUAUGUACCAUAUGAAUAAGGAUCGGCUAACUCCGUGCCAGCCGCCGCGGUAAUACGGAGGAUCCGAGCGUUAUCCGGAUUUUUUGGGUUUAAAGGGAGCGUAGGUGGAUUGUUAAGUCAGUUGUGAAAGUUUGCGGCUCAACCGUAAAAUUGCAAUUGAAACUGGCAGUCUUGAGUACAGUAGAGGUGGGCGGAAUGCGUGGUGUAGCGGUGAAAUGCUUAGAUAUCACGAAGAACUCCGAUUGCGAAGGCAGCUCACUGGACUGCAACUGACACUGAGGCUCGAAAGUGUGGGUAUCAAACAGGAUUAGAUACCCUGGUAGUC
rnacentral:rRNA from 1 species